GAUGAACGCUAGCGGCAGACCUAAUACAUGCAAGUCGAGGGGCAGCAAAACACUUCGGUGUUGUUGGCGACCGGCGAACGGGUGCGUAACACGUAUGUAACCUACUUUGUACAGGGGAAUAGCUUUUGGAAACAAAAAUUAAUGCCCCAUACUAUUUUUUUCUCGCAUGAGAUAGAAAUAAAAGUUUUUUCGGUACAAAAUGGGCGUGCGUCCUAUUAGCUUGUUGGUGAGGUAAUAGCUCACCAAGGUAAUGAUAGGUAGGGGUUUUAAGAGGAAGAUCCCCCACACUGGUACUGAGACACGGAUCAGACUCCUACGGGAGGCAGCAGUAAGGAAUAUUGGUCAAUGGGCGAAAGCCUGAACCAGUCAUGCCGCGUGCAGGAAGAAGGCCAUAGGUCGUAAACUGCUUUUGUACGGGAAAAAUAAGUUUCUGCGGAAACUAAUGAUGGUACCGUAAGAAUAAGCACCGGCUAACUCCGUGCCAGCAGCCGCAGUAAAAC
rnacentral:rRNA from 1 species